rnacentral:lncRNA from 1 species
UUUUUGUUUUUGUUUUUUUUUGUUUGACUCUGAACUGUUAAUGUUAAGAAGAGCCGAUAGAUUGAAAACAGAAGAUACCUGAUCUGCCUAAAUAACUACAUAACGAAAAACUUUCAUGGAAUCGACUGCAUUUAGAUUCAAACUAAAGCUUUCCUCAUUAGCCAUCUAGAAGAACAGUUGCACGUUGAAGAUGAGUGAAAUUUUAGGGUAUACAAGUAGAAUUUGUAAAAGGUUUUCAUGUUUGAAGUUUCAUUAGUAAAAUUUUAUUGAGUCUUACAUAUCAGGUUCAAUACCUUGCUCUUGCAUGUUGAGGAUAAUUGAGUGAUUUGAAUUUUGAUUAAAGAAAAUCAAUAUAGAUGAGAUUUUUGUAUCUGCGCUUCCCAAUUUCAGUUUAUUGUCUAUGUGAGCAUAAAGUUGAAGUUUUAUUCAUUCGGUAUUGUGGUUUUCAUGGAGAUGUAAUGUAACCUAAAAAUGUUGGUGAGACAUUGGUUUGAUGGUUCUAGCCAUAGGGACCAUGAAUUUAGGUGAUUUUUCUCUGUUAUAGUUGUAGGGAAACAAUAUGGGAGGCUGAGUGUUCUCUUCAUGGUCAAGGAGGAGCAUGAAAGAAGAGGAUAAGGGCUGUGAGACAGUGCAAAUGUCAUUGUAGUCUUAACCGAAAAUAAACUUAAACAUUGCAGAUAUGGCACAAUCCAAACCGUAGAAGAUUCUGGUACAUGGGUUAAAAGCAUGGUAUAACCAUGUAGGAUCCCAAUCUGGUAGAGGCUCUUGGUCCUUUGUCUUUAUGAGGAAGCCCCUGACUGAUUGAUGCAUUAUUGCAGUUCACCGCCUGUCUUUCCAUGAAUUUUAUUCGCAUAGGUUUUUCAAGGUUUUUGAGAAGAGUUGAGAUGUAAAAACAAUUAUGGGAACUCAGAUGCAGUUUGAAAUCUAUAUAGAAAGUGCUUUUACUGAUGAGUUUGAUUCCCAAAAGGCGACAAGGCACCAGUUGAGAUCAAGUUCCAAAAAGAAAAAUUGUGUUAGAAGAGGUUUACUGACUGGGAACGUCAAGAUCUUCAAGCUCCAUCACUUUUCCAUGGAUCGUGAUGUCUUUAGGCUCAUUCCUUUUGUUUGGCCUUGAAAGGUGCAUUUUUGCAUUUUAGAGAACUGUUUUCGUAGUAACUCUGAGCUUAGAAGUUAGAAUUGAAUUUCAGAAAGUCUGCCUUGAUUGUAAUAUCUUGAGUCAUUUGGUUCCAUAAAGGGCAUGUUCAUGAUAUUAUAGAAAUCCUCCUAUGAAAGUGAGAUUGCUCGAGUUCUAUUUUUGUUGCUCCUCUUUUUGGAUGCUCAAGACCAAAAGCAUUAGUUAAAAGAGGUAUUAAUACGUAAUAUUGAUUUUGCAAGCUUAGUUCUUAGGUGUUUAUUUUAUUUAAGGAUCCUAUUUCAUUAUAUGAAACAAAUGCUA